rnacentral:rRNA from 1 species
UACGUAGGUGGCAAGCGUUAUCCGGAAUUAUUGGGCGUAAAGAGCGCGCAGGUGGUUAAUUAAGUCUGAUGUGAAAGCCCACGGCUUAACCGUGGAGGGUCAUUGGAAACUGGGUGACUUGAGUGCAGAAGAGGGAAGUGGAAUUCCAUGUGUAGCGGUGAAAUGCGUAGAGAUAUGGAGGAACACCAGUGGCGAAGGCGGCUUCCUGGUCUGCAACUGACACUGAGGCGCGAAAGCGUGGGGAGCAAACAGG